GGACAGCAACAGAAAUGUCACCGAGGCUUCAUUUUUCUAAAUAACUUUUCCAGGCAGCCAUCAGUGUACCAGCUUUUUGUCCAGAAGACUUAGCUUUGUCUUAGGGCUGCCUCAGAUUUUAAACCUGCCAGUGACUGGAGAAGGCACCAGACGUGGGUUACCAGCCCUCUCCUAAAAAUAUCAAGGAACAGGGGCUGUUUCUGCUGCCUUACACCUUUCACGGCUCACCUCGCCAGGUUCAAAGGAGAGACUUCAUAAAAGUAAGAAAGCAGGGAGGAGAACGUGGCUGUCCCUCUACAUAGAGCCCCUUCAUUGACGGAGGAAGGAACUGGAGCCCAGAGUGGUAAAGUCCCUCAUCCAAGGCCACUCAAGACUUCGCAGAAGGACCAAGUUCGGACUCCUGGAAGCGGAACCAAAGGCAGUCAGACUUCAUCCAACAGAGGUACUAAGCGCAUCUCAGAAGUCGGCUAAAGAGCCUCAAAGAGAGCUAGAGGGCUCAUCUGAGGUCUGCGCUUAGUGACAAA